AGGAGAAAAGGAAUAAAAGAGAGGGUGGAAAGCUGACAAGGCAGACCAGCCUGCUUGCUUGCUUAAAGCCUUGUUCUGUCUUGUAUUUGGACCGCAACAACUGGCGCCCAAACGUGGGGCCCUCAGCACUCACCUCGCCCGGCAAGGGUUUCAGACGCAUCACUCAUCCGCUUCACGGAUCCCGGGCUGGUGGACACUGGAGCUGACGUUACGGUGAUUCGUGAUCAGGACUGGCCGGACCGUUGUGGGUUCCGGCCCGGUGUGUGCGACCGGCACUGAAACAGCAUGGCGUGGCACCAGGGGCUGUCGAACCCCAUACCGGAGUUUCAGCUGAUCUUGGAGGAGAACGCGGUGCCUCCCGGGUCGCCAAUGGCGGGAUGGAGAUGGAGGAGACGCAGCGUCCCAAGCCAGCCCGUGACAUGGGGAGCAGUGAAAGCAUUGGUUGCCGCGGCUCAAUGAAGACUGGCAGCAAACCAACAGCCAGAGACUCCUGAGACUCUGUUUGUGGCCAUUCUCACCCAAAUCACUGCUAAUUCUGUACUGAUUGUGUGCCUUAUGUGCCUGCUAUUUCCUGUAGUGGUUGACUCUGGAGCGCCUCCUCCGUUACGGGCCUGAAUGACAUAUAACCUAUGGGAAAGAUUGGCUUCAAUAGCAAAUGUUACCCACUUUUGUUUAUCUGAUUUUGUAGCAGCUGAAGAAUUGUUAGGUACGUGUCUUAUUCCAGUAUGUCAUCACCCUGAGGAAAUAGGGAAUGAGACGAUGCUCACUGCUUACGCGAACCUCUCUUCCCAGUACUCUAGCAUGGCUAAUUGGGGCCCGGCCAACUACACUUUACCUUCUUGGGCUUAUUUUUUGCUGUUGCUGUGUGCAAUGUAUUUCCUUUUUGUUAAGGCUUUGUCGAGACCCGCCCUGGCAGGCUCCACGAGUUAUGACCUUGUCUGUCCGGUAGUUAAUGGCUUGCAAGAGCAAAUUGAUGCCCACCAUGAGAUGGCCGAGCACAAAUAAACAAAAAAGGAGGGGAUGUAGGAUUCAUGCAGGGUUCAUGCACUUGACAGUAUUCAGGGCACACCCUGAGUGUUGUGUAGGAGCAGUGCACACACGGCUCCUCUCAAGGGCAUGAACCUUGGAAACUCGCCCAGAUGACAUGAACCAUGGGAAGCCUCCCAGGACUGGGCUCAAGGCCCGAGAGCAAGGAAUGCGGUAGAUAGAAAUUGGUAAAUAAGAAAGUUAAACAAAGUCAGUGUAUUCCUUUUAUCUGUUGGAGUAUUUAAUGCGUAGGAGGAGAAAAGGAAUAAAAGAGAGGGUGGAAAGCUGACAAGGCAGACCAGCCUGCUUGCUUGCUUAAAGCCUUGUUCUGUCUUGUAUUUGGACCGCAACAUAUCUAUAUAUCUUUUCCACAACUAUACACUUUCUCUCACCAUCAAGUGAUUUAGACAAAAAUUCAGGAAAAAGGGGCAGUUGGAGUCCCUGUUUCCCCAAAAUAUUCCUCCAAGUCCCUUCACUCCCUUUCCUGGGGAGGCUUGAGAAUAAUAUACAAUGUGACCACAGACCAAACCCCUUGGUUUUUAGAACACUGAAAAUUAAUCAGGUUCUCAAAAGAAGAAUUUCAUUUUUUAAAAAAGUAAAAGAAUCGCAUCUGCAAAAUCAGGAUGGAAGGUAACUUUACAGGGUAAAUAAAAAGAUUUAAAACACAGAGGAUUCCCCUCUGACUCUGCUUCCCAGUUACAAAAUAGGAAUGAAAUUACCUCUUAGCAUAGGGAAAAUUCACAAGCUAAAACAAAAGAUAAUCUCAUGCAUUUCUGUGCAUUAGUUACAAUUUUUAUAAUCUUAGAUGCUCAUUUCAGGUAUGUUUUUAGGAGAUGUUUUUCCUGCCUGCCCUCUCUUUGUUCAGAGAGGGAACAAACAAAGAGAGCACAAACAAAACCUUCCCCCCCCCCCACCCCAGAUCUGAAAGAAUUUUCUUUCCCCAUUCAUCUUUCUGGUCAGGUGCCAACUAGGUUAAUUGAAUUGAUUAACCCCUUACAGGUAAGGCAAUUCAGUACAGCUGCCCUGUGUAUAUUUAUGACAGGGUCUUAAACAUUUAAGGAUGGAGAUUCCACCACCUCCCUAGGUAACCUAUGCCAGUGCUUCACCAUCCUCCUAGUGAAAUAGUUUUUCCUAAUAUCCAAACUAGACCUCCCCCAAUGCAACUUGAGACCCUUGCUUCUUCUUUUGUCAUCUGCCAUCACUGAGAACAGCCUAGCUCCAUCCUAUUUGGAACCCUGUGAAGACCGAGGCAAAAAAAAAAUUGAGUACUUCAGCUUUUUCCACAUCUGUCAUAGAAUCAUACAAUCAUAGAAAAUCAGGGUUGGAAGGGACCUCAGGAGGUCAUCUUGUCCAACCCCCUGCUCAAAGCAGGACCGAUCCCCGAUUAAAUCAUCCCAGCCAGGGCUUUGUCAAGCCUGACCUUAAAAACUUCUAAGGAAGAAGAUUCCACCACCUCCCUAGGUAACCCAUUCCAGUGUUUCACCACCCUCCUAGUGAAAAAGUUUUUCCUAAUAUCCAACCUAAACCUCCCGCACUGCAACUUGAGACCAUUACUCCUUGUUCUGUCAUCAGCUACCACUGAGAACAGUCUAGAGCCAUCCUCUUUGGAACCUCCUUUCAGGUAGUUGAAAGCAGCUAUCAAAUCCCGCCCCCUCAUUCUUCUCUUCCGCAGACUAAACAAGCCCAGUUCUCUCAGCCUCUCCUCAUAACUUAUGUGUUCCAGACCCCUAAUCAUUUUUGUUGCCCUCCGUUGGACUCUUUCCAAUUUUUCCACAUCCUUCUUGUAGUGUGGGGCCCAAAACUGGACACAGUACUCCAGAUGAGGCCUCACCAGGGUCGAAUAGAGGGGAACUAUCACAUCCCUCUAUCUGCUGGCAAUGCCCCUACUUAUACACCCCAAAAUGCCAUUGGCCUUCUUGGCAACAAGGGCACACCAUUGACUCAUGUCCAACUUCUCGUCCACUGUACCCCCUGUUAGGAUAUAGAUAUUCAGGCCUGUCUGCAAAGGCCUGUACUUUAAGAAUUUAGGUGUAUUCUUAUCACUUGGCUAGUUCCAGAGGUAUAAAAGAAAGAAUCAAAACCACUGUCUGCCAGUGUAAGGGCCUUCUCUUACUGUGACAGUCUGAGGCCCUGUUCUUAGGCUAAGGUCUUUGGCUAAGCAGCAGAGGCAGCCAUAAGCUGGGAAGCGAACGGUCACAUCCUCACAUUCCAAACUAGUCACACUGAAAUAAGGUGCUAUUCGGCUGUUAGGAAUACAAUCCUGUCCUGAUAAUUCCUAUCACCUCCAGAGAAAGGGAAGUGCCUAGAAAAUGUAAAAGGAAACUUAGUUUGAUAGCAUCCUGUCUGGAAAGAACUCACUUAUCAAUAGCUGGGAUGUGAAAUCCUCACUUCUGUAUUGUCUUGUCAUUAUAGUUCCCACUUUGCUGUUGUUUGUCUGUAUAAUCUCUGUCUGGUUUUGUGAUUGUUCCUGUCUGCUGUAUAAUUAAUUUUGCUGGGUGUAAACUAAUUAAGGUGGUGGGAUAUAAUUGGUUACAUAAUCCUGUUACAAUAUGUUAGGAUUGGUUAGUUAAAUUUCAGGAAAAUGAUUGGUUAAGGUAUAGCUAAGCAGAACUCAAGUUUUACUAUAUAAUCUGUAGUCAAUGAGGAAGUGACUGGGUGGGGGUGGGGGUGGGCAUGUGGGUGUGUGAGAUGGGAACAGGGAAUGGGGGUAAGAAAAUUGGAAUCAUGUUUUGCUAAAGGGGGAAAUGGGAACAGGGAAUGGGAGUAAGGAAGUUGGAAUCAUGUUUGGCUAAGGGUAGGAAUGGGAACAGGGACACAGGCGUAAGGCUCUGUGGUAUCAGAGCUGGGAAGGAGGAUACUAAGGAAGGAAACUGGAAUCAUGCUUGCUGGAAGUUCACCCCAAUAAACAUCAAAUUGUUUGCACCUUUGGA